UGCCAGGUGAGGGUCAUGAUUGGCCU
rnacentral:misc_RNA from 1 species